ACCCCCCCAAGUAGCAGAGCCGAAGUUGUUGAGAGGUUUUUCUGUGUGCCAAAGCGAGAGGCCCUGUCUUCUCUCUCUAGAUUUUGGACGGCAAACCGCCGCCCGUGCAGAGGUGUGUGCGUGUGACGAAAAAUUAUGGAUGAAAUACGGGAGAAGCGGGGUUUGAAGUCUUUCGUUCGUCACACACACAUGCCUUUACCAGCGGAUAUCGCUGGACCGAGUCUACCCAUCUCUCUCGAUACACCAUGAUUUUUCUGCUAUCGCGCUCAUCCGGGUGUUAGGCAUCCUCAGUCUGUCCAGAACUUUCCCUGUGGAAGGAUGUACUGAAGAGAGGUGCGAUUUCUUGUGCGACGUACUUUGCUCAUUUACGUUUUGUGCCGUGUUCUUCUUCCUCAGUAAUAGAAUGAUUUAUCCUAGCAAAUUUUUGAGUUACAGGUGUGUGCGCUAUUUAUCAACGACUACCUGAUAGCCUCGUCAUCAAUCUUCAAAGUGAGCGACGGAAAGAAAACGUUUUCCAGUUUUAAAAUAUUAAGCCCCCGGUGAGGACGUCAUUACUUAACAGAAGCCGGUUCAACACGCGCAGCUCCUGUUCAUGACGUCAUCACUAAAAUGAAGCCAGCUGAGCACGCGCAGCACGGAUGGUACCCCGAGCGCGGCAGGAGAAAGGAAGAACGAGAGGAGGAAGAACGGUAAAUUUGGAAGGGGGAAAGCGUUCUGCCGUCUACACAGCGGGAGUAUGCCAAAACACAUGUAGGAAGGGAGAGAGAUAUUAUUCAAUAAACAGCAUGCGAAUGUGUGCAUGAAGCAAA